UUUAAAUGUGAACAUCUGUAGUGCCAGCUACUUGGGAAACUGAGGCAGGAGGAUUGCUUGAGCCCAGGAGUUCAAGCCUGGCCUGGGCAGCAGAGCAGGAUUCUGUCUCAA
rnacentral:sRNA from 1 species